rnacentral:rRNA from 1 species
UGCGUAGGCGGCUAAAUAAGUCAGGAGUGAAAGUUUUCGGCUUAACCGGAGAAUUGCUUUUGAUACUGUAUAGCUAGAAUCGAGUUGAGGUAGGCGGAAUGUGGCAAGUAGCGGUGAAAUGCAUAGAUAUGCCAUAGAACACCAAUUGCGAAGGCAGCUUACUAGACUUAGAUUGACGCUGAGGCACGAAAGCGUGGGUAGCGAACAGGAUUAGAUACCCUGGUAGUCC